CCUACGGGAGGCAGCAGUGAGGAAUAUUUCACAAUGGAGGCAACUCUGAUCCAGCCAUGCCGCGUGCGUGAAGAAGGUUUUCGGGUUGUAAAGCUCUUUCAGCUGUGACGAUGAUGACGGUAGCAUCUAAAGAAGCCCCUGCUAACUACGUGCCAGCAGCCGCGGUAAUACGUAGGGGGCGAGCGUUCUUCGGAAUUACUGGGUGUAACGGGAGUGUAGGCGGUUUAGUAAGAUGGAUGUGAAAUCCCAGGGCUUAACCUUGGAAUUGCCAUUGGAACUAGUAGGCUAGAGUGAUAGAGAGGAUAGUGGAAUACCGGGUGUAGCGGUGAAAUGCGUAGAUAUCGGGAAGAACACCGGUGGCGAAGGCGACAAACUGGAUGAACAUUGACGCUGAGGCUCGAAAGCAUGGGGAUCAAACAGGAUUAGAUACCCCUGUAGUC
rnacentral:rRNA from 1 species